rnacentral:rRNA from 2 species
CAGUCGAGCGAAUGGAUUGAGAGCUUGCUCUCAUGAAGUUAGCGGCGGACGGGUGAGUAACACGUGGGUAACCUGCCCAUAAGACUGGGAUAACUCCGGGAAACCGGGGCUAAUACCGGAUAACAUUUUGAACUGCAUGGUUCGAAAUUGAAAGGCGGCUUCGGCUGUCACUUAUGGAUGGACCCGCGUCGCAUUAGCUAGUUGGUGAGGUAACGGCUCACCAAGGCAACGAUGCGUAGCCGACCUGAGAGGGUGAUCGGCCACACUGGGACUGAGACACGGCCCAGACUCCUACGGGAGGCAGCAGUAGGGAAUCUUCCGCAAUGGACGAAAGUCUGACGGAGCAACGCCGCGUGAGUGAUGAAGGCUUUCGGGUCGUAAAACUCUGUUGUUAGGGAAGAACAAGUGCUAGUUGAAUAAGCUGGCACCUUGACGGUACCUAACCAGAAAGCCACGGCUAACUACGUGCCAGCAGCCGCGGUAAUACGUAGGUGGCAAGCGUUAUCCGGAAUUAUUGGGCGUAAAGCGCGCGCAGGUGGUUUCUUAAGUCUGAUGUGAAAGCCCACGGCUCAACCGUGGAGGGUCAUUGGAAA